UCUGGUGACCAUGGCGGAGGUUAAAAACCCGUUCCCAUUCCGAACACGGCCGUGAAGCCCUCCUGCGGCGAUGGUAGUUUGCCUUAAGGUACGCGAGAGUAGCGCGUUGCCAGGG
rnacentral:rRNA from 2 species